ACUGUCAUUUAAGAAAAAAAGGGGUUACCACCAGUCCCCUUCCAUAUGAUCAUCAUUUAUGAUGAAAGGGUUGGGCAUGUGUUUUCCUGCCCAACACUCUUUUUCUCCCAGUUGAUCCCAUUUUCCCUCCUUCGGUUAAUUCCAGGGGUUUAGGUACCAGUCUCAACAACUGAUGGACCCAAAAGCCCAGGACAGCCAAUGAGAGCUCCACAUUCACUUGGCCAUGAGGACUGCUUAGGGCAUGUGAUCAAGCCAAGCCAAUCAGAACCUUUGGACUUGACAGUGAGGCCUUCACAUUCCUGAAGUGAACUUCCAACAGGCUGCUUCAAAUCUCCAAACUGGCCAACAUCGAAAUGUUUGGACAGAUACUCUGCUGUCUCCCUGAUCGUACACCUGGAUGCAAUCAUGUUUCCAAGGCAAGGCCACAUUACAAGUGAACUGCUUUUUCAAAUUUCA